GAAGGAAAUUAAGUACGGAAGUUCCUGAUUUCACGCUGUCAAGAAAAGCCUCUAGGAAGAGUAGUACUGCCCGUACCGCAAACCGACACAGGUAGAUGAGGAGAGAAUCCUAAGGUGAGCGAGAGAACUCUCGUUAAGGAACUCGGCAAAAUGACCCCGUAACUUCGGGAGAAGGGGUGCUCUAUUAGGGUGCAAGCCCGAGAGAGCCGCAGUGAAUAGGCCCAGGCGACUGUUUAGCAAAAACACAGGUCUCUGCAAAACCGUAAGGUGACGUAUAGGGGCUGACGCCUGCCCGGUGCUGGAAGGUUAAGAGGAGUGCUUAGCUUCGGCGAAGGUACGAAUUGAAGCCCCAGUAAACGGCGGCCGUAACUAUAACGGUCCUAAGGUAGCGAAAUUCCUUGUCGGGUAAGUUCCGACCCGCACGAAAGGCGCAACGAUCUGGGCACUGUCUCAACGAGAGACUCGGUGAAAUUAUAGUACCUGUGAAGAUGCAGGUUACCCGCGACAGGACGGAAAGACCCCGUGGAGCUUUACUGCAACCUGAUAUGGAAUGUUUGUACCGCUUGUACAGGAUAGGUAGGAGCCGAAGAGACGUGUGCGCUAGCAUACGAGGAGGCAAUGGUGGGAUACUACCCUGGCUGUAUGACCAUUCUAACCCGCCACGCUUAGCGCGUGGGGAGACAGUGUCAGGUGGGCAGUUUGACUGGGGCGGUCGCC
rnacentral:rRNA from 1 species